UGCUGACUUGCAAUAUGAGCAGGGCUCCUGGGUUGAAACUGAAACUCAAAUCCCUUUAUGUACAAUUGUGUGAAUUACACAAUGUUCUGGAAAAGUGGUUGAACAAAAGUCUCCAUGUAAGACAUGCCAUGAUCAGUACUUGUUGUGCCAGAAGUGGAGAUGAGGGGGACUGAACCCAUGACCUUAGGAUGCCAAAGCAUACACUUGCCUGCUGAACUGUAUCCUCCACAUGUCAGUUGGACCUCAAGAGAUAAUUGGCAGGUGGUCAUGUGUAAAAGCUCCCCAGUGGAUACGACAAGCACUUGUCUCUUCACACCACAGUCUUGUCUAUCCUAAAAGGAAGCAGUUUCACUGAUCACUUGCCUAUUUUAUCAUAUCCUUCUAAUAACCUGGCUCCCAAUGAAUUUCCAAACAAACUGACACAACCCUUGAGUUAAAGAUAAUAUUAUGGAUUUAAAUAUAACUUUUAAAUGUAUAUUGUACAGCUAAAAUAAAGGUCUCUGAAAUUUCAACAGUUGCAAGUGUUUCUGCUGGAUAUAUAAUCUUUAUCAUACCAGCUUUCUUGUGGUUUGGAUUUACUUUAAAUUGAACAUCUCCAUUCAUGCCAAAGUCAAAAUAUUUGCAUCCGAACUCUUAAAUACAAACAUAUUCACCAGCACCUGUAUGCUCUUUUUCCCGUUACUUUCCUGUUGGCAAUGUUUCUCAUUCAACCAGACCUGUAACACUGCCAAAGCCUUUAAUGUGCUGUUGGUUUACAGUUGCUGCUGGUCUCAUGUCUUCAGUUUAGUAGAUGUCUCUGUAGGCCCCUUGCUUGUUUUAACAUCCCUUAAUAGUUCCUACACUGGUUUUCUGCUCUUUUGGGGCAGGUCUUUUUGUCUUAUUAUCUCACUAAUUAUUGAUCUAAAAAUAUGUGCAGAAAGUACUUUUAAAAAAAUCCUUUCCGGUUUUAUUUAUUUUUUUACUGAUGCUUUCAGAAACUGGCAUUUUUGCCAAACGGUCAACUUGCUUUCCAGAAUUGAUAAUCCUUGCUAUGGGGUUUGACCAAUCAGAGUCAAGUAUUUAACAAACAUGGGGAAUAGGGGAGAAAGCUGGGUAACACUGACAGUUUGAUUGUUGUUAGUCAAUUUAUUGGGUUUGGUUAGCCGUGUCUCUGGACACAUCAACCGACAACAGCUUCUCACUUUUCCUAUUGUCAAUGAAUGUAACAGCGUCACAUGGUUUUGAAACAGCUGGAUGUGCUGGUGCUUCAUUGACUAACAAUUAGCAGCUGUCAUACCCGUAAGAAAUGGAGAUGCUGGGGAUUGAACCCAGGACAUCAAACAGGCAAAACAUGGGCUCUACCACUGAGAUACAUCCAGUGGAUGAAGACCUUCAGACUAAGAACUUCCAACUAGUUAACACAUCUUGUGUCAUUUUUAUGACUGAAAGCCUAAAGCAGUAAUGUCUAAACAUGUCUGAAUCUAUAUUUGGGCAAUUAUAGUGGAGGUUUGAAAAGCUCCGAUAUAGUACUCAUUUGUAGGAUGGACAGCAGGCGCUUUCAUUCAGCAGGGAGCAGUAGAUGAUAAUACACACUUUCAUUAUAGCAUUCAGUGAGCCUUUAUUACUUUGGAUGCAAAAUGACAUAAUUAGAUUAAGAUAAAGGGCAUGUUGUCAGCUGUAAUUAGAGGGUAUUUCUGGCCAUUAUGAAUAAACACAUAAACAACUGCAGACCCUUUUCACACACAGUCUCUUUAUUUCAGGCUGUCAGGUUGGGAGACAGAUUAAAAUGAGCUUUAAUACAUGAGACAGACUUUGCAUGUUUAAUUCUGAAUUCAUAGCCUGUAUCUUCUUGUAUCUUUUUGUCUAUGUGCUGAGGCGUUCCUGUUCAAGGCAAAACGAGGCAAUGCUAAGAAAAAAAAAAUUGAUUUGUUUCUCCUCUUCAAAGACAGAGGAAUUUCAUGGUUUUGAAAGCGUACGUGUGCACACUCACCUUGCUCUGUGGUGCUGAGUGAGGAUAAAACUGUUCCUCCAAUUUUCACCCCAGAAAACGACUGGACCAGAAAACAUCAGGGUCUUCAAUUUUUAAACUGUGAUUUCUCCUCAGGAAGGUUUGCACAGGCAAUUUGUUGCUCAGAUAAAAUAUAUAUAAAACAGCUAUGAGGUUUGUUUGAAAUUCAAGUAGUGUUAUACAAUGAAUUGAAGGUAAAAAUACAGGGGGCUUGCUGCACUUUAGGUACUUAUUACAUACUGCAUUUCAGUGCAAAAAGCUCCUUAAGUACAUUAUGACAUAUUUUCAGCGUCAAUCCUUGAUGAAAGUAAAACAACCGAAAAUAAGGGAGUAUAAAUUUGACUGGACCAAACUAGACAGCCAGUUUGGUGUCCUAGCAGGGUCAUUAUGUAGCUGUGUUGUCUCCCCUGCUGUGUUCGAUUGGCGCACAAGCUUAAUUGCUGCCUCAAGCUCCUAAAACCUUGAUUGUUACCAAAAGCAGGCAUUUUGUUUGAUACACUACGUUUGAUAGUUUUGUCAGAAGUCUUUAGGAAUAAGCAGUCAAGUGAGCUCAUUAGUCACUCUAGUCAAGGCAGAAUGUGUGAUAUAUUCAGUUGGUAAAUGAGAGAUAUUUUCAUUGUAGUUUUGUCAAAUGUUUCAUUUUUAUGUGGGUUUUAAACAUACCUCUGGCUAUUUUCAUCAUAGACCUUUUUUUCUGACCCAUGUCCGUCAAAACAAGGAUUUUUUAAAUGAUAUUAUCUCAUCAGCAGCAAUUUCUAGAGAAGCAACUCCUCCCUUAAAUUAGGAGCGAGUUUGCACGUCAACAUUAAUACUGAUGCUUUGACACAGACUUGUUUUCUUUUCCCAUCUCUGGCUAUCACCAUGCCCUCCAGAGAAAUGCAGAAUUGUACAAGGGCUGUCAGGUCAUUGGUAAACUGCAAAUGAAUUACAGACAUGACUUGUUUGAGUUUAAUUUUGGUGAAAGAAAACUCACUGACUGCCUUUGGGGCUGUUUUGUUGUUUUUUUCGCAUUGAGUUCACACCAAAGGCAAAGUGAAUUUUCGUGAUAUGUUAUUAGCUCAAGCUCGGCCUUUAUGCUAGUUAAUCAUGACCCAUGGACAUUCUCUUUCUAGAUAUGUUGAAAACACAGUGCUGUUAUGUCUGGGUUCAUAACAUCACCCAGAGGCGCAAUGGCUUGGUCAGUUUCAGCACCCUGUCAAGAAACUGCGUCUGAUUUAGCUUUACUGCUGCUUCAAGCUACUCAAGGUUGACCAGCUCCUAGCUCCUGGGGUUAGGAAUAAAGUACCAUUCUUCUGAUCUGGCUUCAGAGCAAAUGUAUGUUUGUCAUUUGCACCACGUUAUCACACUGAUGGUAAAGGCUGCUAUGUAUAGAACCCAUCAGUCUUUGACUAAUCCCAUUCACACACCAUUGGACACUGCUAGCAGGGGCGGGUGGGGUCAAGUGUCUAACAAGUUUUAACAACCAUUAGUUAAUGACAGAUAGUGAAUCAUUAGCUACUCAGUUGAAUCAGAUUAGCAGUUGCUCACUAUCUACGCAUUAACAAACUUUUGACUAGCUGUUAGUUGCUCCAUCAUCACCCAGUAGCUUUGCAACAUCUGUGUACCCUAUUGUAAAAUGUUUCUGAAUUUUCAAAUUCAGUUUGGUAAGUAACUUGUAUUAGUUCACUUUACUUUAUUGAAUUAUUUGGUUGCAUGCAGGGAUGCACCGAUAUGAAAAUUCUUGGCUGAAACCAAAAAUGAGGGAACCGAAACACUGUAAGAAAUUAUUAUGCCAACUAUUGGUACCAUUACAUUUAUGGCUAUGACUGUGGACUAACCUCACUAAAAUCAAGGCAUUGCAAUUGCAUGAUAUUAAAUAUUAAAUUCAAAAUAAUUCAUGUAAACACACUCAAUGUGCUCUAUCAGCCUACAAAAUCCCAAGUCCUCUAUGACAGAGAACUGCUGGUCAUCUAAGGCAAUGAAGUCCAUAAUUUUUUUGUGUAAUGCCCUUUGCUUUGGCACCAUCACCGGUUAAUUUUCUUGACUUUUAGAAAACUAUUCACCACAGACGGAGUAAGUGUGCUCAGAGGGAUUUUCCUUUUUCUGUGCCGUGUUCUGCUUGUAUUCACAUUAGCGAUUGGGAAAUUUGGAUUUCAGGCGAUAAAUUAAACCUGAUGUGAAGAAACUUUUUCGCGCAUGCACCCCCUCUUGAAACUUCAGCAUUACAAGCUUUGCAAAUUGCUAUCCUUAGUUCUCAGAGGUAUUGACAUACAUCCACACUGCAGACAUGUUGGCCCUUAUCCGGAAAACAUCUUUUUUGUUUCGAUGUCUUUUGGCUGAGAUUUCGUUAAAAAACAUAAUUUCCUGUAAAAACAUAUAAGGCUUCUUUUUAGAUCCUCUUUUGCAAAACUCUGAGCACAAACUCAAAGCCAUGCUCAGAGCCCGCUCCUUGAACCCUGAAACGACGUCCGACUCAAAGCAGACAUGGUGUUUACACAGAGAGCACGUCACACAGAGCAUUUAAAACUGAAGCAUUGCAGAUGUAGUUUCAGUACAGUGAUACUGUGUGUGGUAGCCACAGUCAGAGCUCCAGUCUCGUGUUGUAAACACUGAGCUGAGGCAGCACUUCUGAGUGGUCUGGAGUGGAAAGAUGAUUCUGUAGUUGAACGUGCUGACCCACAAACCUCAAACAGUAAGGGAGUGAUCACCGGGAGCUGGGCCACCCACUGAAUGCAAAAACACACACACACACACACACAAUUGUUUAUACAGUGUAUACAAAUAACAGUGUAUAGUGACAAAGAAGAAAAACAAGCUAAAACCUGUUUGAACCUGGAGAAGGAUGCAAGAGCCUUCAGAAGACAAGGAAAGGAAGGGCGAUGGGAGGAACGAGUGAGGAGAGCUUUUCUCCUCUGCCCCUUUACAAUGACACUGCUCAGCUUGACAGUAUGAACACCUCAAACUGCAGGCACACGGAGAAAGCUGCAUACAUACUGCUCUAUUUUAGACAACUAUGUUUGUGUGUGUUUGUGUGUGUGUGUGUGAGAGAGAGAGAGAGAGAGAGAGAGAGAGAGAGAGAGAGAGAGAGAGAGAAAGAGAGAGAGAGGGAGAGAGAUCAGUAGUGCAGGUAGGUGUGUUUGCUUGUUGCGGUUUUGUAAAUUAGUUUAGCAAGGGUUUAUUUGCCUGUAAACAUAAUUAUAGUUGACAUGUCUGUGUGUCUUUUUGUGUGUCUGUGUUUGUAUGCAUAAGGCUGAUUCAGUCAUGACUAAGGAUAUUUAAGCCUGAGUUUGGCUGUUUCCAUCUUACAGAUGAUUUGACAUGAGACAAAGCGACACAUGCAGCUUACUAACAAAAACAAGCACAAAUGUCUACAACAAAUACUAUUAUUUACAUUCUGUUACUUCAAAGGGUUUGACUUCCCAGCUAAACAGUCCCUGCAGAGGUAUGUUUAGAAACAGCUUUAGACUUAAUAUCAUACCAUAAGCCUCCUUUACUUACACAAUACUUAAUAUUUCCGAACAUUUGCCUCAAAUUCCUUUCUUGCUUACUUUUCCAGAUAUCCUUCACUCCCCAGUUUAAAAGAGUUCAGUCACAGGAAGCAAUACAAGUCACAAAAGCAUGCUGCAAAAACCACAGUGCUGUAUAAUUUUCACAACCUGAUGGUAGACAAAGCAAGAGAGAGCUGAACUAUGAUUAUAGCUUUCGUAUAUACAAGGAUGCUACAUGUAAACGUACGCUUAUGCAGAUAUCUACACUAUUGCACUGUGUUUGCACUGACUGCAUGAUACAAACGUCUUUGGCCAACUGCUUGUGGCGAACUUUUCUGCUGCAUUCUUACACUGGCUCACCCUUUUACCUUACAGGGGGGCUGGUAAAAACUCUGAAUUAAGUCAGGGGAGUUUUGUGAUAUAUGAAUACAGCUGUGUUGGAAAUGAUUGGACCCCACUGGCUAGGAUGACCAUAGGUCCUCUUUUACUUGGACAUGUCCUCUUUUUUGGGAGCUGUCCAGCC